GUUUUCGCCUGUGCCUGUGUGGGUACCUCCCUCUCCACUUCAACCUUCCCCAUGCUGACACCCGCAUGUUACCGGACCCACGACACCUGCCAAAAUGGCUCCUUUUUCUCCCUGUCUCCUUUGGCUUCAUGACAACUUUAUAUUACCCUUGUUCACUGCUGGGUCCCCAGUGCCUAGAACUGACAACCAGGCUUUCUGUGUGUGUGUGUGCGUGUGUGUGUGCGCAUGUGUGUGCAUGCGGGCUCACACGCAUGAGUGCACACAGGGGUGUGUGUGUGUGUGUAGUGUGUUUGUGUGUGUGUGUAGUGUGUAGUGUGUUUGUGAAUGAAUUAAACUGAAUUGAAAGCAGUUCAGGGAAGUCAGAUGAGGGAUCUCUGGGGAUUGUGAAUAUGAAAAUGCUGUGGUUA
rnacentral:lncRNA from 1 species